rnacentral:rRNA from 1 species
GAUGAACGCUGGCGGCGUGCCUAAUACAUGCCAGUCGAGCGAACAGACGAGGAGCUUGCUCCUCUGACGUUAGCGGCGGACGGGUGAGUAACACGUGGAUAACCUACCUAUAAGACUGGGAUAACUUCGGGAAACCGGAGCUAAUACCGGAUAAUAUAUUGAACCGCAUGGUUCAAUAGUGAAAGACGGUUUUGCUGUCACUUAUAGAUGGAUCCGCGCCGCAUUAGCUAGUUGGUAAGGUAACGGCUUACCAAGGCAACGAUGCGUAGCCGACCUGAGAGGGUGAUCGGCCACACUGGAACUGAGACACGGUCCAGACUCCUACGGGAGGCAGCAGUAGGGAAUCUUCCGCAAUGGGCGAAAGCUUGACGGAGCAACGCCGCGUGAGUGAUGAAGAUCUUCGGAUCGUAAAACUCUGUUAUUAGGGAAGAACAAAUGUGUAAGUAACUAUGCACGUCUUGACGGUACCUAAUCAGAAAGCCACGGCUAACUACGUG